CCUACGGUAGGCAGCCGUGAGGAAUAUUGGUCAAUGGACGCAAGUCUGAACCAGCCAUGCCGCGUGCAGGAAGACGGCUCUAUGAGUUGUAAACUGCUUUUGUACGAGGGUAAACGCAGAUACGCGUAUCUGUCUGAAAGUAUCGUACGAAUAAGGAUCGGCUAACUCCGUGUCAGCAGCCGCGGUAAUCCGGAGGAUUCAAGCGUUAUCCGGAUUUAUUGGGUUUAAAGGGUGCGUAGGCGGUCGGAUAAGUUAGAGGUGAAAUCCAGAGGCUCAACUUCGGAAUUGCCUCUGAUACUGUUCGGCUAGAGAGUAGUUGCGGUAGGCGGAAUGUAUGGUGUAGCGGUGAAAUGCUUAGAGAUCAUACAGAACACCGAUUGCGAAGGCAGCUUACCAAGCUACUUCUGACGUUGAGGCACGAAAGCGUGGGGAGCAAACAGGAUUAGAUACCCCUGUAGUC
rnacentral:rRNA from 1 species